rnacentral:tRNA from 1 species
GCGCCCUUAGCUCAGCUGGAUAGAGCAUCGGCCUUCUAAGCCGCAGGUCGCAGGUUCGAAUCCUGCAGGGCGCACCA